rnacentral:misc_RNA from 1 species
GAUGAAGAACGCAGCGAAAUGCGAUAAGUAAUGUGAAUUGCAGAAUUCAGUGAAUCAUCGAAUCUUUGAACGCACAUUGCGCCCCCUGGUAUUCCGGGGGGCAUGCCUGUCCGAGCGUCAUUGCUGCCCUCAAGCACGGCUUGUGUGUUGGGCCCCCGUCCCCGGUUCUCCCCGGGGACGGGCCCGAAAGGCAGCGGCGGCACCGCGUCCGAUCCUCGAGCGUAUGGGGCUUUGUCACCCGCUCUGUAGGCCCGGCCGGCGCCAGCCGACACCCCAACUUUAUUUUCUAAGGUUGACCUCGGAUCAGGUAGGGAUACCCGCUGAACUUAAGCAUAUCAAUAAGGGAGGA